GGGAGGCAGCAGUGGGGAAUCUUGCGCAAUGGGCGAAAGCCUGACGCAGCAACGCCGCGUGGAGGAUGAAGGCCCUUGGGUUGUAAACUCCUGUCGGCUGGGAAGAAAUCGUUCGGGGCUAAUACCUCCGGACGUUGACUGUACCAGCAAAGGAAGCCCCGGCUAACUCUGUGCCAGCAGCCGCGGUAAUACAGAGGGGGCCAGCGUUAUUCGGAAUUAUUGGGCGUAAAGGGCGCGUAGGCGGCCACGCGUGUCUUUCGUGAAAUCCCUCGGCUUAACUGAGGACGUGCGGAAGAAACUGCGAGGCUCGAGUCCGGGAGAGGGGGGUGGAAUUCCCAGUGUAGCGGUGAAAUGCGUAGAUAUUGGGAGGAACACCGGUGGCGAAGGCGGCCCCCUGGACCGGUACUGACGCUGAGGCGCGAAAGCGUGGGGAGCAAACGGGAUUAGAUACCCCGGUAGC
rnacentral:rRNA from 1 species